AGGAUUUUGGCCUGAUGCACCAUUUUUGUGGUCAAAAUAAAGCGCAAGCGAAAAAGGAGCGAAGAUGUCGUGAGGUGCCAUGACGAGAAGGAGUGACUGAGAGGAUCAUCCACAAGAUGGGAGCUGAGGCCUGGAGAAAGUCUUCAGGAAGAUCAGAGAUCACCUUCAGCACAGAGAGCUGUGCUACUGGGCUUCCAGGAGAUUGUCAUCACCGUUGGAACGUGAGAACCUGAGGGAGCGUGCCAAGCUCCAAAAAGUGACAGCGCAGAGGAGGUCCAGCGAUGGACUUGUGGUUCUGUAAACAGCACAAAUACCAGGUGACUGUGAAAAACCUAACAGCACUUUUUCCACAGGUGAAGCCAGUAACUUACUAUCCUAACAGAUUAGCUCUAGUUGCUUGUGCUUUACCUCCAUGCGUGAGAUCAGUAUGUGCUUCUUUCGUUUUGCCAAUGAAAGAAGAGGGCACUUCUCAC
ensembl:lncRNA